rnacentral:rRNA from 1 species
GAUGAACGCUGGCGGCGUGCCUAAUACAUGCAAGUCGAGCGAACGGACGAGAAGCUUGCUUCUCUGAUGUUAGCGGCGGACGGGUGAGUAACACGUGGAUAACCUACCUAUAAGACUGGGAUAACUUCGGGAAAUCGGAGCUAAUACCGGAUAAUAUUUUGAACCGCAUGGUUCAAAAGUAAAAGACGGUCUUGCUGUCACUUAUAGAUGGAUCCGCGCUGCAUUAGCUAGUUGGUAAGGUAACGGCUUACCAAGGCAACGAUGCAUAGCCGACCUGAGAGGGUGAUCGGCCACACUGGAACUGAGACACGGUCCAGACUCCUACGGGAGGCAGCAGUAGGGAAUCUUCCGCAAUGGGCGAAAGCCUGACGGAGCAACGCCGCGUGAGUGAUGAAGGUCUUCGGAUCGUAAAACUCUGUUAUUAGGGAAGAACAUAUGUGUAAGUAACUGUGCACAUCUUGACGGUACCUAAUCAGAAAGCCACGGCUAACUACGUGCCAGCAGCCGCGGUAAUACGUAGGUGGCAAGCGUUAUCCGGAAUUAUUGGGCGUAAAGCGCGCGUAGGCGGUUUUUUAAGUCUGAUGUGAAAGCCCACGGCUCAACCGUGGAGGGUCAUUGGAAACUGGAAAACUUGAGUGCAGAAGAGGAAAGUGGAAUUCCAUGUGUAGCGGUGAAAUGCGCAGAGAUAUGGAGGAACACCAGUGGCGAAGGCGACUUUCUGGUCUGUAACUGACGCUGAUGUGCGAAAGCGUGGGGAUCAAACAGGAUUAGAUACCCUGGUAGUCCACGCCGUAAACGAUGAGUGCUAAGUGUUAGGGGGUUUCCGCCCCUUAGUGCUGCAGCUAACGCAUUAAGCACUCCGCCUGGGGAGUACGACCGCAAGGUUGAAACUCAAAGGAAUUGACGGGGACCCGCACAAGCGGUGGAGCAUGUGGUUUAAUUCGAAGCAACGCGAAGAACCUUACCAAAUCUUGACAUCCUUUGACAACUCUAGAGAUAGAGCCUUCCCCUUCGGGGGACAAAGUGACAGGUGGUGCAUGGUUGUCGUCAGCUCGUGUCGUGAGAUGUUGGGUUAAGUCCCGCAACGAGCGCAACCCUUAAGCUUAGUUGCCAUCAUUAAGUUGGGCACUCUAAGUUGACUGCCGGUGACAAACCGGAGGAAGGUGGGGAUGACGUCAAAUCAUCAUGCCCCUUAUGAUUUGGGCUACACACGUGCUACAAUGGACAAUACAAAGGGCAGCGAAACCGCGAGGUCAAGCAAAUCCCAUAAAGUUGUUCUCAGUUCGGAUUGUAGUCUGCAACUCGACUACAUGAAGCUGGAAUCGCUAGUAAUCGUAGAUCAGCAUGCUACGGUGAAUACGUUCCCGGGUCU